AUGAUGAAAGGUAAUUCAAUGCAGAAUUGUUAACCAGAGCCCCAAGACUUUAAUUUAACCUUGCAAAACACGCACUAAAAUCUCCAUCGGAUCUGCAUUCGGUUUCUAUCUCACCGGUUUCCUGGUUCCACUUUCUUUUGAAAGCUUUGCUCUUUGUUCUCCCACAGCACAGCCAGGGCAUCAGUGGAGAGGGAAAGCCAUGCAAAUCGUGACACAGACAAACAAGUGGCAGCCCGAGAGGUAAGUGCGAUAGGAUUUCAUUUGAAUUAUUGAUUUAGAUCUUCUGUAUUUAUCAAGCAAGGUGCUAUUGUUUUGUCUCCUGCUGGCAAACAUAACACACUGUAGUUGGAAUUCUUAGUAAAACUUGAACUGUUUACUGAAGAAAACUUACAGCAGACUGUUUCUGAUGAUUACAGCAACCAGAUUCACUUUGCUUUCCUUCUCUUAAAUGGUCGUCCUAAUGCAGUGCUGUUGUUAAUAUUAACUUUACCUUCCUUACUGCGAUGUGCUCUUGAACCCAACCCACAUAGUUACCAGAGCCAGGACACACUUACAAGGCUCUGAACAUGAGCUGUUAAAUUAAAUUACUGAGUCCAAGCCAACUAGCCGCCCAGAGCACUUUAAAUGACCAGUUUUUAAAUUAAGGGAGCAAAGAAAUUACAGAUGAAAAAGAUCUACCAAGGUAAUUGAGUCCACUCCUCUCUCGUGCCCUGCACAAGAUUGUUCUUCAUAAUAUAUUUUCUAGCGUUUCAUCUAGCAUUUACAGAUAAGAGUCCACAUCAGAAAUGUGAUCGGUUUUAUUUCUACUGCAAAGAAGAUUCUGCAGAGCACUGAAGAUUUAUUAGUAUUCUGCCUUCUACACACUGAGAAAAGCCUUAUGUUUCAGUCAAAUGGCAUUUCAAACUGACAUUUGCCAGAUUAAGGGAAAAUAACUAGCUAACUGAAAGACAAGGUAAUAUCUUUUAUUGGAUCAACUUCUCUUGGUGAAAAAGACAAGCUUUUGAGCUACAGACAGCUCUUCCUCAGGUCUUGGAAAGGUAUUCAGAGUAUGUUUACACUCAGAGACCUGCCCUUUGGGGGGCGGAGCAGAGUGAGGGCAGCGGCUUCAGCAGAUGUUACUGAGCAUGUUCAGUCUGUGAGCAUGCUCAGUACAAGCCAAGCAGCAAAUCGGGGGAUGGGGGCGGCACAUGACCCCACAGGCUGCCCCACCAGCUGCGCCGCCAUAGUGCUUCAGUGUAGACACUAACUACACUGACGGGAAGGGUUCUCCCAUUGGCGUAGUUAAUCCACCCUCCCGAGAGGCAGUAGCUAGGUUGACAGAAGCGCUGUCUACACCAGGGCUUCAGUAUAGCUACCUCUCUCAGGGGUGGGAAGGUUGCCCUUGGAAUUCCUGAGGCUACCAACAAAGGGUCAGCUCAUGCCAAUUUUGACUCCACCGAUAGUUUUAUAAUAUGGGCACCUGUUCCCACUAGGAACUAGACUCUGCGUCAUUCCGCACAGCCACAUCAGUCUCCUUUUGAGUCACCUUUAAUAAGAUACCCCUGAAGGGUUCAACAGAGAAGAUGCAGAGAGUAUUUUCCUCUGGGAUAUCUUCAGGAGUAUCCAGUAUUUCUGAAGAAAAUCUUGAUGACAACCUUGAAAUAUCAAAGCAUCUGAAGAGGACACUGGCGAACAAGUUUUUCACUGACUUGAACGCUGAAGAUUUGAUGAUGGUCAAGCAGGCCUUGAUAUAUCUUGAGAGGAAUAAAGAAAGUAUUGGUGACUUUCUGAAGUAGUUUCCCGAGCAAAGAAACAAGGUGGAAAGCUGCAUACAAUGCUUUGAGGAAAUGGUGGACAACACGGAUGAAGUCCAUAAAAAAUGUGCCACAAUAAGUACUGCAGCAAACACCAUGGAUUUUAUUUCAAGCAUUUUUAAUCUAGUAAAACAUGGGGGCCGUCUCUGUAUUGAUUUGGAGAUAUUAGCUGAUGUUGCAAAUAUUUCCAGAUUUAUAUACAAAAAUUAUAACAACUUCAAGAUAGAGGAUAAAGUUAAGAAGUUGCUACAGCAAUACGAAAACAGCCUGAAUUAUCUGAAAAUUUCUAAUGAAGAGGAUUGUGAAUUAGAAGCUUUUCAGAGGACUGAGGCCUCAUGCAACUACUUGAAUGAUUUCAUGUCUGCUGCUUGGUCAGUUCUGGGAUUAUAUAGAAACAUUACAAAGUUAAACAAA